ensembl:lncRNA
CAAGGUAAGACCCAGAUGCAGACUGUUGAAGUAACAAUGUUUAUUGUAGCAACAGGGGCAGGAACAGACCGGUCAAGGCAGGCAGGGGUUGACAAUCCAGGGUAGAGCAAAGGUACAGGACGGCAGGCUCAGGGACAGGCAGAAAGGUAAGGUGGGCAGGUACAGGCUCAGGGACAGGCAGAGAGGUAAGGUGGGCGGGUACAGGCUCAGGGACAGGCAGAGAGGUAAGGUGGGCGGGUACAGGCUCAGGGACAGGCAGAGAGGUUAGGUGGGCGGGUACAGGCUCAGGGACAGGCAGAGAGGUAAGGUGGGCGGGUACAGGCUCAGGGACAGGCAGAGAGGUAAGGUGGGCGGGUAUAGGCUCAGGGACAGGCAGAGAGGUAAGGUGGGCAGGUACAGGCUCAGGGACAGGCAGAGAGGUAAGGUGGGCGGGUACAGGCUCAGGGACAGGCAGAGAGGUAAGGUGGGCGGGUACAGGCUCAGGGACAGGCAGAGAGGUAAGGUGGGCGGGUACAGGCUCAGGGACAGGCAGAG